GGGGAUGUGUUUCAGCAGUAGAGUGUUUGCCUGUAAUGCUGAGGUCCUGGGUUUCAUGCCCAGCAACCCCU
rnacentral:tRNA from 1 species